UAAUUCUGAUGCAUGAACUUAAUUAUAAUUGACCUUGUCACAUUGCAGCUGUUACUGAUAUUGACACAAGUGGCAUCCAUGCCUUUGAAGAAUUAUACAAGACCCUUCAGAAAAGAGAAGUUCAGCUUAUAUUGGCGAAUCCGGGGCCAGUUGUAAUAGAGAAGCUCCAUGCAUCCAAGCUUACCGAUCUAAUUGGAGAAGAUAAAAUAUUUCUCACAGUGGCUGAUGCUGUUGCAACUUUUGGUCCAAAGGGUGUUAAAUAAAACAUAUCUGUUUCAAGAUCAAAUUCAAGUGUUGAUUGAAGCCACGGUUAUAAUUAAGAUGCUACAAAUACAAACGGGUGGG